CCUCUGGGGCAGGGCAGGUCAUUUUCUUUACCUCAGUCAGGGUUAGCUCUACAAGGACAGGGACCAAAACCAUGCUGCUGCUCUCAGAUCGCAGUGGGCAGCUCUGACCAGGUGACAAAGCUUGGGCUCAGGAAGCUGUUUCAAGGCCAUGGCCCCAAUCCUUGCAAGUGUCUGUCGUUGUCACAGAAACAGACUGCGGGCUUGAUGGAGGCGUGGAAAAAGCAGGGGCUCUGGGUCUUGGGGAGGAGCUGGGCUUGGGGAGGGGCUGGGCUUCCAGCCCACAGUGCACCUUGGGGAGGAGGGUCAGUUUGCCCUUCGGACCACCUACAGGAAACUCUACCUCCUUGUGUGAAUCAGACCCCUACCGGUCAAAUGUUCUGUGCUCCUCCAAGCCUCAGGAAAUCUGGCCUGAACCAGCCAAAUUCUAGAAGCCCACACACUUCCUUCUCUUGCCUAUAGCUCUGUCUCGGGUGCCAGUUUUAUGUAUCCACUGAGGUAGUGAGAACUUGUCCUGGCCGUGGGGACUCUCCAGUGUUUCCUCUCAGUGACCUUCUCAGCACAGACUGAAGCCCUCAGGUAGUUUGGCCUCUUUAGAGUGACUGAGCCUGGCUGGGGUGGGCCAGAGGUCAUGGGACAGCCUGGCUUAUCCUCAGAUGACCUCUUCCUUCUCCACCGCUGAGGACACAAACAUUCAAGCCUGCCUCCUAUCGUAAGCAGAUAUGGAAAUACUUCUUUCAUCUCCCAGCGAGCUGCUGUAUUACCAGAGCUGGACGGGACCUGUGCUCUGCCUUCUACUGUCACUCUGAAACUAUCCCCUGUCCCCCCGAAUCGAGAGAGGACCCCCCUCAGGAAGCAGAUGUCCAUUUCUCUAGGAAACACUCCUUCCUGCCGGAGCAGCCCCUGGAUUUUCCACUGCAGGGGAAUGAAAGUGAAGCCUGGUGCAACCUGAGCCGCAGCACAAUACCGAUCGGCCGUGAGAUGGUGGCACGUACCUGCCUCUUCUCGGAGGAUGGACGAGUCGAACCGGGCACAAGCAUGGAGCUGCGGAUGAGUCCUGGCUGGUACUGGCGCGGCGCAGCGAGCAGUGGCUGACGCAGAGGGCUCCCUGGCCUCGCUCGGUGCCUG